CACCCUUACGUAAAUGUUGAAUCUUUCACUCCAUCCUUUUUAUCUUUCUCCAUCUUGAUCAAAAAUGCAUCCACAAAAUCUUCGCCUGUCUCGCUCAUUGUG
rnacentral:snoRNA from 1 species